UAAAAAAAUUUUAUUCUUAACAAAAUUAUAUUUAUCACGAAGAUACGAUGCGGACCGUUAGGCGAUGUACAAUCCAUUAAUAUAAAAAAAUUUUUUUAAUUUCUAUCAAGCUAUAAAAUCGACUGAUCUAGAAUUAAUUAAAAAUUUACAAAAUAGGGGCCUUUUAAAUAUUAAGCAAGGUUAAAAAUUUUUAAUAAUCUUAAUUUUUUACUAACCCUCCUCUCUCUCUCUCUCUCUCUCUCUCUCUCUCUCUCUCUCUCUCUCUCUCUCUCUUUCUCUCUCUCUUUAGUUAUUGAUGUAUAUUGAUGCUUAUAUAAUUUAAUUGUAAGAAAGGAUUUUAAAAUCUGUAAAUGUAAUUAAAAAAUUAGCAUAUAAAAAAAAACAUUUAAUCGAUAAAAUAGGAUAACUUUAAAUCCCUUUUAUUUUUCUUUACAUUUUUACAGUAGAAUAUCCCUUUAAAUGAAAAUUGUCAACUCGACAAAAGUCGUCGCUAAUCUCCGAAGUCUCUGAGAAAGACCUCACAUUGUCCACCGUCGUUAUAGAAAUGACGCGAGGGUGAUCGUUUCAAGCACAGGGUGAAACGCGCACACGAAUUUGUUUCGCCUUGUUAUGUUAAACUCGGUUAUGAUAACGCGAAGCGAAAAGAUCAUCGAAUACGCAAUAUUUUAACCGCUUCUCGAAAAGUCGCGUACGCGGGGGAAAACGUAUCCAGACCCAACCGAGUAUCGAUCACGCAUUGUUAUAUGCAAAAAAAGAGAGAGGAAGAGAGAGAAACGCAGGCAGGGAGAGAGGGAGGAAGGAAGGGAGGUAGAAAGAGAUAUCGAUAUGACGGCUACAUGGGUAAUAGUGCGCGCUGUGCCGCGUGACGACUCCUGUCCGACAGAAAUCGUCUGGUAUUGACACGUCGCUCGAAAAGUAACGAACGGCCGCACACAUACGUGAAACGCGGCCGCCGAAUCCGUUGUUCAAAAUAUCGUAAUUCUGAGCGCGUUGCCGAGACCAGUCCAGGCCAGCUUUGACCUUUGUGCCGGUGCCCAGAGUCUGUUACAACGAUGAAUUAUACCCUCCAACCACUGUCGCGCAACAACAAAGCGCCCGGUUUUUGUUCUAUCUGUUGCUCUCUUCUCGUGCCUUCGUCUCUCUCUCUCUCUCUCUCUCUCUCUCUCUCUCUCUCUCUCUCUCUCUCUCUCUCUCUCUCUCUCUCUCUUUCGCUACGGUUCGCUGAAUCAUUAUGUCCUCUAAAAGAAGAUAAAAAACGAGUUAAUGUCUUGUCACAAAUGGAAACGUGACUCCAUCACACGCGAAUUAUUAAAAGCAUCUAUAUAGUUGGAAAAUGACAGAUAUAACCGGUAGAAAAAACUAUCACAUAAAAAUUCGCACUGCGGAACAAACAUAUAAACAAAUAAAAUAAUAUAAAACAAAUAAAAGAAUUAGAAUUUAUAUUAGAACAUAAAUAAGAAAGAGUACAACUUGUUUCGCACACAACUCGAAACGAAAUUUCAACUUAAGAUCGAUAAUAGAAAAAAAUAUUGUUCUACUAUUAUUCAAAAUAUUGCGCUAGUCACAUUCCCCCCAAAAUAAAACUAAUCAAAAUAAACUAUAAAAUAUUACGAAAUCUUAUUUUUAAUGACAAACUCGUGAUUACAAGGGGGAUUUUUAAUUCUCGCUAAUAAAAAUUACCAUCAAAGAGGGAACGUUUUCUUCUUUUAACUGCAUAUUGUAAACAAUGACACAUCUAGCUUCUGUAUUUGUACGUGUAGGGAUGUAAAGGGGGUAAGCGAGAAGACGCACACACUCCAUCCUACCCUAGGCCAGUACUUUAUAGUACGUAAAUAUCUUUUUAAGGAUACACAUAUCUCUGAUCCUCGGGCAAAACGAAUGCGAAAGGAGAAGGAGGAGGAGGGCAGAAGCGUCUUUAGAAAUCGGUGGUACGCGCAACGAGUCAACGGUUAGCGAAAUAUGUUUUAGCAAAAGUCUAGACUCCGGCUCCGCCGCCAUUCGGAUCCGGUCCACCCUCGCUUCUAACCAUACGGUACCCGACCCGCUAUCCCUCAGGCCUUACGGAUGACUUAUGCUCGCUGGAGUUAUUUGGAUUCCUCGGUGCACCGCGCAACUUUAGAAACCAUCAUUGUAUCCUAUUUUGUUGUCGCUUUAUGUCAAACGUGACAAUACACAGUGCAAUUCUUGAGAUUCAAACUAAGCAUGAUGCAUAUCUGUUUCGUCUAUUAAUUUGAAAUUGAACAUUACGUAAAUAAUCAUUGUCUAUCAUUCUAAUCAUUCUGAAAACUAAUAUAUUAUAUGCAUGUAAUAAUGUGCUUUUACGAUAAGAGCUGAAAACUGAAACAGUUUUAUAAUUUAUACAAAUAAUUACAUAUACAAUUUAUAACUUGUACAAUUUUAUUGAAAAAUGAUGCUUACGGCAUUCUCUUCUCUUGCUAUAUUAUUAAAAUAAAUUGUUAUGUUAAAUGCGUGAUCGUUAUAUUGCAACGCAUGAAAUAUAAAAGCCGACGAAUUUUAACUUAUCUUUGAAAUCAACGUGUAACAAUCAGAAAUUUUAAAUUAUGAAUUUUAAUAACACACACACACACACACACACACACACACACACACACACACACAUAUAUAUAUAUAUAUAUAUAUAUAAAUUAGUGAUAAUGAUAUGUUAAUUUUAGUAAGAGUGUUUAGAUUAGCAGCAUUUACAAAGUAAUAAUUAAAAAUGUAAAUAUAUUAUAUGAAUUACAUAAAUUCAUGAUAAAAGA